GCUGGUAGCCUAGUGGUUAAGGCGUCCGCCUCUGAUGCUGAAGGUCGUGGGUUCUAUCCCCGGCGAGACAUACCA